GGAUCCCCUAGUAACGGCGAGUGAAGAGGGACUAGCCCAAAUUUGUAAUCUGGCUCUUUCAGAGUCCGAGUUGUAACUCGAGAACAGUUUUCCGUGUUGGACCUUGUAUAAUCUGUUGGAAUAUAGCUUCGUAGAGGGUGAGAAUCCCGUACAUAACAAGGACUACCAAUGCUUUGUGAUACGUCUCUAAGAGUCGAGUUGUUUGGGAAUGCAGCUCAAAUCGGGUGGUAAAUUCCAUCUAAGGCUAAAUAUUGGCGAGAGACCGAUAGCGAACAAGUACCGUGAGGGAAAGAUGAAAAGCACUUUGGAAAGAGAGUUAACAGUACGUGAAAUUGUUAAAGGGAAACGAUUGAAGUCAGUCUUGUAGCUUUUCGUUCAACCGCAAGGGUAUUCGGAUUGCAACAGGCCAGCAUCAAUUUUUGGUGUCGGAUAAGGUAUUGGAAAUGUAGCAAUCUCGGUUGUGUAUAGUCCUUUACUUGAUACGAUGCUAGGGAUUGAGGAACGCAGUGACGCUUUUGGCGGUCUUUGGACCUUCUCACUUUGGAUGCUGG
rnacentral:rRNA from 1 species